ACUAGGUUUAUGUGUAAACAAUAUCAUUUUUGCACACCUUUUCCCAUCCCACUAACUACAUAAUGAAGGUUCUAUGCUUUCCAGUGGCUUUUUGGAAAUGAGGAAAGCUUUUCUGAGAAGCCUCCAGACUGACUUCUUACAUCACCAUGGCCAAAGUAAAGAUCAAUUAAAAAGGCAUGAAACAAUCCUAACUGGUUUAAAGGAUUCAUCAUCCAUCUGUGACUGAACAGUUGCCAGUGGGGUCUCCAUCCUCAGAACACCUCAGGAUACUGACUUUGAUAUUUUAUAUGCAAGACUCAGCAGAAAGGAGAGUGUCUCUAACAUCACCCAUGGAAAAGAGAUACAUCUUCUGAACCACUUUUACAUGAAUAGGGAAGGAGAAGU
rnacentral:lncRNA from 1 species